AGCUUUGCGCAGUGGCAAUAUCGUAGCCAACGAGGUUUAUCCGACGCACAAUUAUUGCUAAUUGAAAACUUUUCCCAAUAACCCACCAUGACAACUUGAAAUAUAGUUGGCACUGGCAAUUUUUGACAGUUUCUACAAAGA
rnacentral:snRNA from 1 species